UACGUAGGGUGCGAGCGUUAUCCGGAGUUACUGGGCGUAAAGGGCGUGUAGGCGGCUUUUCAAGUUCGUCGUGAAAGACCCCGGCUAAACCGGGGGAGGUCGAGGGAGACUGAGAAGCUGGAGGGCGGCAGAGGGACAGGGAAUUCCGGGUGUAGUGGUGAAAUGCGCAGAUAUCAGGAGGAACACCGAUGGCGAAGGCAGAUCUCUGGGCCGUAACUGACGCUGAGGAGGCGAAAGCAU
rnacentral:rRNA from 1 species